rnacentral:rRNA from 1 species
AGGGUUUGAUUAUGGCUCAGGAUGAACGCUGGCGGCGUGCCUAACACAUGCAAGUCGAGCGAUGAAGCUUUUAAGAUUUCUUCGGAAUGAUUAUAAGUGGAUUAGCGGCGGACGGGUGAGUAACGCGUGGGCAACCUGCCUUAUACUAGAGGAUAGCUCCUGGAAACGGGUGGUAAUACUCUAUAAGCUUACGACAAGACAUCUUGAUGUAAGAAAAGGUUUACUGGUAUAAGAGGGGCCCGCGUCUGAUUAGAUAGUUGGUGGGGUAACGGCCUACCAAGUCAACGAUCAGUAGCCGACCUGAGAGGGUGAUCGGCCACAUUGGAACUGAGACACGGUCCAG